UAUGCAACAAAAUUAUAGACUUUUAAAUUCAUCACUUGAACAUAUAGGCAAAGUCCGCCUCACUAUUGGCCAAUCCCCAUGAGUGGGUGCGCGCCAAACUCAUCAAUGGCAUCAUCAUCGUCAUCAACAACACGUGGCGUUCGCAAGUAGGCAAAGAAGAAGACGUCGUUCUGAAGAACGUUUGAUGACGGCUGUAGUCCCGAGUACUUUCACGGCAGGUUUCUUCGGGCUAGGCCGCGGGCUCGGAGCCAAUGUGGGAAUGGAAGCCGCUACCUCUCGGUGGUCUUGUGGCGCAGGUUGGGGCGGCACGGGAUUUACCUGGCGCAAGGACCUUCGCAACGGAGGCGCCUUGGAAGCUGGAACGCUCUGUUGGCGUGAGGCAACCCCACCGAAAUGGGAGCUUGGAUUCAUCUACGGGGGCGUCCGCCAUUGGGGACCUCGUAGAUCAGCGAGAAGCACCACCGGCCGAGCCUGCGUCAAAUGCAACCAAGAAGGGCACAUGAGCAGGGACUGUCCCGCUGCUGCCUCGGGAGGACGACGCGGCUGCCUCAAGUGUGGUGAGGAAGGCCACAUGAACAGAAGUUGAUCUGCAGACAUUUCGGCGGGACACACCCAGAUGUGGGCCGCUGCCCUUCGCGUGUGGUCAUAUUAGGAUUUUUGGGUGUAUUUUGUGAUAUAUAUAAUAGCUGAUAUAAUUAGUUGUAAAUUUUUACUUUUUUGAUCAUGAUGUUGAUAAAUAUAUUCUUAUAUCUUCCA